rnacentral:rRNA from 1 species
ACGGGAGGCAGCAGUGGGGAAUAUUGGGCAAUGGGCGCAAGCCUGACCCAGCAAUGCCGCGUGAAGGAAGAAGGCUUUCGGGUUGUAAACUUCUUUUAAGUGGGACGAUAAUGACGGUACCCUGAAAACAAGCUCCGGCUAACUACGUGCCAGCAGCCGCGGUAAUACGUAGGGAGCGAGCGUUAUCCGGAUUUACUGGGUGUAAAGGGCGUGUAGGCGGGACAGCAAGUCAGAUGUGAAAGCACGAGGCUCAACUUCGUGUCUGCAUUUGAAACUGCUGUUCUUGAGUGCUGGAGAGGCUAACGGAACUCCUAGUGUAGCGGUGAAAUGCGUAGAUAUUAGGAAGAACACCAGUGGCGAAGGCGGUUAGCUGGACAGUAACUGACGCUGAGGCGCGAAAGCGUGGGUAGCAAACAGGAUUAGAUACCCUGGUA